AUGGGGAGCUCUUUGCUGGGAAGGAGCCUGGUGCUGAGUGUGCCAGGAUGGCUCUGGGGGCUGAGGAUGGGGUUAGGUUGGAUGUCCCCACCCUUUUUCCUCACCUGUCAGGUGGGUGAUGCAACAUCUUCUCUCUUGCCUGCAGUUACCUCAUCGCCGAGUGACGUUCUCUGCAGCCAGCCAGGCUCAGGACCUGCAGGACCCCUCCCAGCACAGCUACUACGACAGCGGGCUGGAGGAAUCCGAGACCCCCAGCAGCAAAUCUUCAUCAGGGCCCCGCAUCGGGCCCCUGGCCCUGCCCGAGGACCACUACGAGCGCACCACGCCCGAUGGCAGCAUCGGGGAGAUGGAGCAUCCCGAGAACGAGUCCCCUGAGCGGAGCAGGCUGUGAAGGGGGGCUGCCAUCAGGUAUGUCCGUGUGGCUCCUGCCAGGAUGUCCCAGUUGCCAGGAGGAGCUCCCGUGGGUGCCAGGGAUGCAGUGUGGGCACAGGCCCCAGCCCCCAGCUGAGGGUUUGGGGAGCAUCACUGGGGGCUGGUUUAGGGCAAGAUGUGCUCACACAGUGGUUGGCUGCUGACUUCACCCCUUUGUCCAUGCCGGUGUCAAGCAUUCCCAGCAUUGUCUGGAGCCUUCUCCUGCAUCCUGUGUGUGAAAGCUGUGCCAGGGUGACUUGGGUGUGUGGCAGUCCCAAACUGGUGGCAGGAGGGAGCGUUGGCCAGGGCAGAAAUGCCACCGUGGUGCUCUGGUUUGCUUCUUCCCCGAGCUCAGGGAGUGCCUGUGCAUCUGCCCUGCUUUUGGGAUGAGGGAAUCGUGUGGACCAAUGUGUGUCCCAUGUGAAGGGGGUGCUCCACAUGUCUCAAGUCCCCAGAGCUCCUCAGCAUCUCCCUCCAUCAGUCUGUCAAUGCAGAGAGCUCCACAGUGGUGGAGACAUGGAGAGGAUUUCUGGGAACCACAGGGACAUCUGGAAGUCUGAGCAGCCUCAAGGUCAUGAGCAGCACCUGCUUCCACCCCAGCAUCAGCACCAGACUGGAUCUGCUUGUGGCAGCAGGCAGUCACAUGUCCUGGGGCACUCUGUGAUGUCCCAAAUUUGGGCAGAAAUCAAGGAAUGGCUCGUGACUGGGAUGGCUCUGGGAGGGACACUCAGCUCUGCAUGGAAGUGCCAAAUUCCAACCUCAGAAGCCUCAUGACAGGUGCUGCCUGUGCCAAGGACACCUGGCCAAGGCUCAGGGACACCUGGGGCAGGGGGUGGCUGGUGUGUGAGGACACCAGUAUGUGAACUGGUCUAACUGGUGCUCAUUGUCUGGCUGUGCCAGGAGCAGGGAGCUGUGGUGCCCUGUGGCGCCCUGGGGUGCUGGGCUCCCUCAGGGGCAGGGAUUU
rnacentral:lncRNA from 1 species